UCUGCCUAAGUCACAAUUCACAUAGAAAACUGAACCGCGCAUUGUAAAAUAGGACACAAAACAAAAGACUUCAUCGGAGCUGAGAUCACCGGGUUCACACAGAGCAGCGCUAGCUACCCUUCCGCCGUGUUUCUCUCAGCCUGGGACGGCUCCUGCAUUCCCGGUGUGCUAUUGCCCCCUGCUGUUCAUACGCCAGCAUCGACGCCGGCCACGAAGGCCUCAGUAACAGCCUGUGUUUACAGCUUGAGCUCAGACAAGUGAUUCAGGAGUCGAGCAGACCCAUUCCAGAGGAAUUUUCUUGAAUGUCGAUCUAAGCAGCUUAAUGCAAGAAUGAAAGUUGACAGCUGCAGGAAACUGUGCGCUGCUCACCGCAAGCACGGAAACCCAGCAGCACAGACCAGCACAGUCCUGGAACACGCCGACUAUAACCCAGCCACGGCGUCCCUACCUGUGCACGUGGCUUUGUUUAGCUCCUUACAGUGGAGAGAAAGGACAGAAGCUGGACACUGGGAAAAGAUUUUAUGUUAAAAGAUGAGUGUGGGAAAGCAGGAGGCGGGACAUGGGAUUGGACGAAUGUGCGUUACCUUCUCAGGGCUUCUACAACAAAUUACCUCAGCGUUUGUGGCUGACUCUGGGACUGAAAUACGUAGACCUGAAAUGCUAAGAAAUAGUGGUAAAAUUUUAUUUUGUGCAAUAAAGCAGCGAUUGAUUGGGGAAGGCCCCUGACAUCUUUCUCUGGACCCCUCUGUAUGCGCAUGCAAAAGUGCACAUGUGUACUCAGGUACAUGCAACACACACACAAACCCCAACAUCUAAUGAAAACAAGGCCAUGGAUUUGAGGGAGAGCUGGGGAGUACAGGGAAGGGUGUAGAAGGAGGAAACAGAAGAG